rnacentral:rRNA from 1 species
GACAGAGGGCGCAAACGUUGUUCGGAAUUACUGGGCGUAAAGCGCGUGUAGGCGGUUCGGAAAGUCGGGUGUGAAAGCCCUGGGCUCAACCCAGGAAGUGCACUCGAAACUCCCGAACUAGAGUCCUGGAGAGGAAGGCGGAAUUCUCGGUGUAGAGGUGAAAUUCGUAGAUAUCGAGAGGAACAUCGGUGGCGAAGGCGGCCUUCUGGACAGCGACUGACGCUGAGACGCGAAAGCGUGGGGAGCAAACAGG